UACGUGGAGGGCAAGCGUUGUCCGGAUUUAUUGGGCGUAAAGAGCGUGUAGGCGGCCAUACAGGUCAGCUGUGAAAACUCGAGGCUCAACCUCGAGACGCCGAUGGAAACCAUCAGACUAGAGUCCGGAAGAGGAGAGUGGAAUUCCUGGUGUAGCGGUGAAAUGCGCAGAUAUCAGGAAGAACACCCGUGGCUAAGGCGGCUCUCUAGUACGGUACUGACGCUGAGACGCGAAAGCGUGGGGAGCGAACAGG
rnacentral:rRNA from 1 species